rnacentral:lncRNA from 1 species
AGGCAGACACGGAGGCAGACACGGAGGCAGACACGGAGGCAUUAUACAGAGGCAGACUCGGAGGCAGACUCGGAGGCAGACACGGAGGCAGACACGGAGGCAGACUAGGAGGCAGACUAGGAGGCAGACUAGGAGGCAGACACGGAGGCAGACUCGGAGGCAGACACGGAGGCUGACUAGGAGGCAGACUAGGAGGCAGACUAGGAGGCAGACACGGAGGCAGACUCGGAGGCAGACGCGGAGGCAGACUCGGAGGCAGACUCGUAUGCAGACUCGGAGGCAGACGCGGAGGCAGACGCGGAGGCAGACGCGGAGGCAGACAGACACGGAGGCAGACACAGAGGCAGACACGGAGGCAGACACGGAGGCAGACUCGGAGGCAGACACAGAGGCAGACACGGAGGCAGACACGGAGGCAGACACGGAGGCAGACACGGAGGCAGCGGCCCGGCCAAGCACGUAUUCCCAUCUGGGCCGAGGAGAGGCGAGGGUUUCCCGGAGUAGGACUCGCUAGCAGAUAGACGUGUCACCACAGCAGCUUCUUAAACAAGCUCUUGACAAAUCCUCUCUGGUGGGAGCCUCGUAACACCUCUGCGAGCUCCGUGUUGCUAUGCUCCUCGCUUUGUGCUCUUGUUCCGGGGUGCUGGACUCUGGCACUCCCUUUGAGAUACCUUUUCUUCUCCAGUUCAUUUUUCCAGAUGAGGAAACGGAGGCAGACGGCUUUAAGUGAUUGCUCAGGAUCACCCCGCUAGGAAGCGUCUGAGGCUGAAUUUGAAUCCACAAAGAUGAAUCUUUCUGAUGCUCUAUCCAUGGCACCACUUAGCUGCUCUACCCUCAUUUUACAGAUGAGGAAAUGGAGGCAGACAGAGGUUAGGUGACUUGCCCAGGGUCACAUGGCUAAUAUUUAAGACCACAUUUCGAUUCAGGUCUUCCUGACUCCAGAGCCACCUACCUGCCUCCAUAGCAGCCAAUCCAGUGCACUUCAGGAGGUCCUGGGUCCAAAUCUGGCCUCCGAUGCUUCCUAGCUAUGUGACCCUGGGUGAGUCACUUAGCCCCCAUUGCCUAGCUCUUGCUGCUUUUCUGUAAUAGUUCUAAGACAGAAGGUAAAAGUUAAAAGAUAACUAUCUAGUGAUCACUCAAUCCUUCAUUAGUACCUUCAUUUUUU